GACGAACGCUGGCGGCGUGCCUAAUACAUGCAAGUCGAACGCAGUGGGGACGGGUGAGUAACACCUGGGUAACCUCCCAUCAGAGGGGAUAACCCUUGGAAACAGGUGCUAAACCGAUAUUGGUGUAUGUACCCGCGGUGGAUUAGCUAGUUGGUGAGGUAACGGCCCACCAAGGCCACGAUGCAUAGCCGACCUGAGAGGGUGAUCGGCCACACUGGGACUGAGACACGGCCCAGACGCCUACGGGAGGCAGCAGUGGGGAAUCUUGGGCAAUGGACGAAAGUCUGAUCGAGCAACGCCGCGUGAGUGAAGAAGGUUUUCGGAUCGUAAAACUCUGUUGUUAGAGAAGCGGUAUCUAACCAGAAAGCCACGGCUAACUACGUGCCAGCAGCCGCGGUAAUAC
rnacentral:rRNA from 1 species